GUCAGAGUGAACUCUUUGGUACUUGUGUAACUGAUUAAGCACUUAAAGGAAACUGGGUAUUUACUUAAUGGUAUGACUCAUUUGAAUGGAACAGACUUAAACAAAAAACCCCACAAUGAUUAGGUUUUCCACUUAUUGUUGUUGUGGGUUCAUGUAACACUAACGACACUGGAAUCCAAAAAUAUGGAAACCGCCAACAGAAUGUGCCUAUGUAAGGACAAAAGAGGGAUAGGUUGUAUCAUUUAAACGGCUCAAGAGGAGACGCUAACUCGGGCCACUGUGUCGUGCGUGCCUUCAGAUUACAGCUGGCGGUGAGUAGGUGUUGGGUGUUAGGAAAGGAUGACAAGAGGAAGAAGAAUAGAAAAAAUAAAGGGGCUGGAGAGAUGGAGGUCGCAGGUGAAUUAGACCAAGCUUGAGGUCUGAUGGAGAUCAUGGGUGGAUAAGCGACCUUUUGGUGUCACCACUGUAAUGGCCCAAGCCAGCAGAUGAUAGAGCCUCCACUGGAGGGCAGUUCUGAUUCCAGAGCUCACGUCUUCACUACCACCCCGUCGCACUUCUGUGAGUGGUCCGAAGUGGCGACUAACUGGCGGUUUGAUUUUCCUUGAGCCCGACCUCCUCCCUGAGGAGGGAGUAUGUCAACCCGUACUUCUGUGACUCUCUGGGAUCACCGUCACUGUUUUCCACAGGCAAAACUAAGACACGGAAGUCCCAAAGGUAGAUCUCUCUUCCUUGCUUUUCCUGAAGAGCAGAGACUUCCAGCAAGGAAGAUGAACUUGGACUGGAUCUCUUUACACUUUCCCAAAUUGUUCUGGAAACCUGUCUCAUAGCGUUAGGGCAACUCUCCUAUAGCUCAGCAGGCUCCCGGGCUGUGACCGGCUCUAUUUAAUCAGGAUUUUCCUUCUCCCCUGGAAGGGCCCAUGGAGCUUUUGCCGGCCGCUCGCAGACAGCACUAAUCAUACAACCUUCCUGGCUUCCCCCCACGGGGUCCGAUGGCACUCUGACGGUUUCUCCUCACUGUGGUGACAGCAGGCAAGGAGAUUUUGCAAACAAAGCCUUCUGAAAUCUGAAGCGAAUGUAAAAGAUACCAAUUCGUAAAAGCCUGUUCUCAGACUCGGACAAGAAGCGGGAUUAGUUUUCAGUAAGCUCCAAGGGAAACGCAAGGCCAGCCCCAUCUCUAAGAAGGGAAUCACUCAAUGGUCCCUGGGUCAUAAAACAUUUAUUGAGCACCUUCUGUGUGUCAAACACCAUAUUAAGCUCUGAGAAUUGAUGACAUGCACGGCCCGGAACUCAGAGCUUACCGUCCUCUACUGUGUAAUGAGACCAGUACUAUAUAUUCUUUAUAGUGGGCACAAAUCUGUGAGUUUGUUCAUUUGUCUGUUUUUAUACUUUCCAAACAUCUUGAGCGCUUACUGUGUCAGAUGCUGGGGCUAUGGUGUGCAAAAGGGCUGUUUCUGCCCUUAGCUCUACUGUCUAGGGUGAGAACAGCCUGGACACAAACAACCACAAAGUGGUGUACCACCACGGGCUGUUGCCGAGUGGGAUAGCUAACUUUAUGUGUGAACCUGACUGAGCCAGAGGGUGCCCAGAUAUUCGGUUGAAUAUUAUUUCAGGGUGUGUCUGGGAGCAUGUUUCUGGAUGGGUUAACAUUCGAAUCCGUAGAGUAAGUGAAGCAGAUGGCCCUGCCCAGUGUGGGUGAGCCUCGUCCCACCAAGGGCUUGAAAAGAAUAAAAAGCCGACUAAGAAUUCUCUCUCUGCCUCUUUGAUCUGGGACACCAGUCUUCCUCGCCUUCGGACUUGGACUCAGACUGAAACUUGCACCACCCAGGGUCCUGGUUCUGGGGCCCUUGGCCUUGAACUGGCACUCUAUCACGGGGCUGUGCCGAGUCUCCAGCUCACUGGCUGUGGAUCAUGAGUUCUUAGGCCCCCAAAUCUCAUGAGCCAACUCCUUACAGUAAAUCUGUCUACCUGCCUACCUCUCUGACCUGUUCAUUCUGCUUCUCUGGAGAGCCGACUAUACACGAAGCCACCACAAUGGGAGCCCAGUGGGGAGCUAUUGGAAUGUCUUUUGUAUUGAACACACUGCCUUGCAGGUUCUUUCUGCUUCUCAAGCCUGGGGCAAUGAGGACUGAUUCAGACUGCAGAGGGGACUGGGCUACACCCCUCUCCUCUCUUCCUGGGCCCUUCCUGGGGGCCCUUUCCCCUCUCCCUCCCCCUUCUCUCUCUCUUUGAUUCCUCUUCCUUUCUCUAGUUCUUGCCUCCCCCGCUGCUCCUGGCUCUCAUCAUCCCUAUGUUCUUCUCUUUCCCUUGAAACACUUGUUAUCAGGGAUGGACCAGAUGGACAUAUCUCACAUGAAGAUGUGAAUAAUUACUAAGGACUUGGUGAUUUUUUCUCCAGCAAGGAAACAAAGCUUUAGCUAGAGCUGGUGCUCCAUGGGAGGAGAUGCAGGUGUGGGCCAAGGAGUGGGUGGCAGGAGGCAGCUUCCUGGCCACGAAGCCUUCCUUCAGAUUUCCUAUGGGUCUGCAUGGAUCUUCAACACCUCUCUUGGGACUUUGACUGCACUUCUGGUUUCAGUCACGGUGGGAUAGUCCAGGCCUGGAAUCUGCCCACGUCCACAGCCAGGUCCUCUGGGGUCACACACACGUACCACGAAGGCCACCAGGUCAGCAGUGGCAGCUGUCUUCUUCCCACUUCUCGCCUAAAGGCCACAUGAGAAAAUGCACAUGACCACCUGGGAGCGCUGUUACUCCACACUUUCUCUAUAAAAACUGCUGUCCGCCACAGAGGAUGUCCAGGCUUCCUUUGUUUUUGAGGCUCAACCAAGGGAUGCCUCUGGGAGAGAGGGGCAGUACAGACUCCCAGAUCCAGGUUAAUGUGGAAAAGCAGAGGUAGGAAAACUUCACACGUUCUGAAAAUGCCUUGAUGUGUAACAAUUUGGAGACUGUAAGAGGGCACUAGUUUUCAGUGCGCAGCACAGAACAAUGAUGAAGAGCACGGGCUCUGCUGUUCAAACAGAAUCAGGGUUUGAGCCCUGGUGCCACAUCCACCAGCUGUGUGACUUUGUCCAGUGACUAAGUUUCUCUGGGACUUGGUUUUGCCAUCUGCCUCAUAAGGCAUUCGUGAGGAGGCACAUAACACCUCUUGGCACCAUACCAGGUACGUAGAGCUUUACAAAAAAGCUCUUAUCAUUAGAUACUAUUUGCAAAAUGUAAAAAAGAGAUCAAGAAGACAUCGGCUGCUUGCAAGCCAAAUGAAAUGUGGCUGGGGUCCAAGGCUGUAUAAUGGGAUGAAAAAGCUAGGGUUAUUUAGACCGCCGAUUGGCCAGGUCAGCCAAGUAAAGAAAAUGCCACCGGAAAGGGUCACUUAAUUUCUCCCUCCUUCUCCUAUCUAAAAAUGGUGCGCUGGUGCUGCAUUCAUAGGCUCACCUGGCCAAAAACCAGAUUCUUUCAAUAUCGUUCUCAUCUCCUUUUGCUUAUUCAGACUACUGUUCACCACAGCUCAGAAGAGCAUAGCGAUGGCCAAAAUAUAAUGAGGGGUUUGGGAACUUGAGAGGAAAGGAAUGAUUACCAGUUAGCACAUUAUUAUACACACCAUGCGGACUUCAUGGUUGAUGCAGCGAGGAACUUGGUAUGUGUGGUAAUUAUGCACACUUGAGCUGAAUUUUAGAAAAACAUACAAAAGAAACGUUAUUUCCUCUUUUAAAAGAAGGCUGUGAUGGUAAGAAGCAUUCCACAAGCAACUAUUAUGCAAAGCUAUUUCAAGGGUGAAAUGAAUGAAUUUGUCAAUGAAUUUUAACUACUGAAGAAAAGGAAAUCUAAUUGGGGGCUAAGGUAGUUUCAGGAAUGACAGCUUAUGAGUUCUGCACUGACAGGUGCUGGUGGAAAAGCUGAUUGGUCCCAUUCAGGAAUAUAAUAGGCUACAUUUGUAUAGCACGGCAUAGGGUACCAAGUACUUUCACAUAAAUUCUUUCAUUCGAAGUUCCCAACCACCCUUUGAGAUAUGAAUAGGACAAAGAGUAUUAUUACGGUUAUUUAAAAAAGUUUUAUUGAGAUAUCAUUCAUGUACCAAUCACCCAUUUAAGGUAUACAACUCGAGGGUUUUAAGCAUAUAUGCAGAUAUAUACAGUCACCACCACAACUGAUUUUAGAACACUUUCAUUCUGUCUAAGAGAAACCUUCUAUUCCCAAGCUGUCACUCCCUCUAUUUCUCUGCCUGAGCAACCAGUAAUCUUUCUGUCUCCACUGAUUUGCCUAUUCUGGAAUUUCACAUACAUGCAGUCAUACAAUAAGUGGUCUUUGGUGACUGGCUUCUUUCCCUUUGUAUAAUGUUUUCAAGGUUCCUUCAUGUUGUAGCAUGUAUCAAUACUCCAUUCUUUUUUAUGGCUCAAUAAUACUCCAUUGUGUGGAGCUAACACAUUUUGUUUAUCCACUCAUCACUUGGUGUACAUUGGGGUUGUUCCUACCCUUCAGUUAUUUUGAAUAAUGCUGCAACAAGCGUUCUUGUUGGACAUAGGCAUUCAUUUCUCUUAGGUAUAUACCUAGGAGGGUAACUGCUGGGUCAUAUGGUAACUGAAUGUUGACAUGUUAAGGAACUGCCGGACUGUUUUCCAAAGUGGCUGCAUUUUACAUUCCCAGUAGCAAUGUAUGAGGGUUCUGAUUCUCCACAUCCUUGCCAAUAUUUUUAUUAUCCGACUUUUUAAUUCUCCUCAUUCUAAUGGGUAUGAAGUGGUAUCUCCUGGUGAUGUUGAUUUGCAUCAGAGAUGUUGAUCCCUGAUAACUAAUGAUGUUUCAUAUGUUUAUUGGUCACCAGUGUAACUUCUCUGGAGAGAUGCUUCUUCAGAUUCUUUCACCAUGUUAAAAUUGGGUUGUCUUUUUUUAUUAUUGAGUUAUGAGAGUUCUUUAUAUAUUCUAAAUGUAAUACCUUAUCAGAUAUAUGAUUUGUAUAUAUUUUCUCUCGUUUGGUGAACUGUCUUUUAACUUUCUUGGAUGGUAUCCUUUGAAACACAUAGUUUUCAAUUUUGAGGAAGUCCAAUUCAUCUCUUUUUUUUUCUUUUGUUGCUUGUGCUUUUGGGGUCAUAUCUAAGAAUCCAUUGCCAAAUUCAAGGUCAUGAAGAUUUGUUCCUGUUUUCUUCUAAGAACUUUUAUGUUUUUCCUCUUCAUUUAGAUAUCUGACCCGUUUUGAGUUCAUUUUUUAAAUUAAUUAAUUUAUUUUUAAAAGAUUUUAUUUGUUUAUUUGAGAGAGAGAGAGCAUGAGAGGGGGGAGUGGCAGAGGGAGAAGCAGGCUCCCCACUGAGCAGGAGCCCAGACGUGGGGCUCAAUCCCAGGACCCUGAGAUCAUGACCUGAGCCGAAGGCAGAUGCUUAACCAACUGAGUCACCUAGGUGCCCCUCGAGUCAAUUUUUGUAUAUGGUGUGAGGGAAGAGUCUGACUUUAUUCUUUUGAGGUGGGUAUCCAGUUGUCCCAGCAGCAUUUGUUGAGAAAACUAUCCUUUCCCCUCAUUAUAUAUUCUUUCACACCCUAGCUGAAAAUCGGUUGACUAUAAAAACAUAGAUUUAUUUCUGGACUCUCAGUUCUAUUCUAUUGAUCUAUAUGUCUAUCCUUAUGUCAGUACCACGCUAUUUUAAUUAUUGUUGCUUUUGAAGUUUGCAAUUGGGAAGUGUCAGUCCUUCAACUUUCUCUUUUUCAGUAUUUUGGAUACUGGGGGAUCUUGUAAUUCCAUAUGAAUUUUAGAAUCAGUUCGUCAAUUUCUACAAAGAAGUCAGCUGAGAUUCUAAUAGAUUUUGCAUUGAAUCUGUAGAUCAAUUUGGGAAGUAUCACCAUUUUAAUACUAUUAAGUCUUCUAAUCAAUGAACAUGAGAGAUUUUUCCAUUUAUUUAGCUCUUAAUUUCAACAAUGUUUUGUCAUUUUCAGAGCAUUAGCUUUGCACUUCUAUUAAAUUUAUUCCUAAAUAUUUUAUUCUUUCUGAUGUUAUUGUAAGUGGAAUUGUUUUUCUUAAUUUCACUUUCAGAUUGUUCAUUGCAAGUAUAUAGAAAUGCAAUUGAUUUUUUGAUAUUGGUCUUGUAUCCUAAAACCUUGUGAACUCUUUUUAUUAGGUUUAAUUAUUUUUUAGUGGAUUCCUCAGGAUUUUAUAUAUAGAAGAUCAUGUUAGGUGUCAACAGGGGUAGUUUUACUUCUUCCUUUUUCAAGCUGGCUGCCUAAAGUUUAGCCUAAUCUACCAAUCUUUUCCUAAUUGCUUUUCAUUACAACCUCCACUGUUUUUGAGAGCACCUUUAGACUUGAACUUCUUUACACUACAGUUGCAAAUGAAGUCAAUUCUUGGGUGAGGAAUUUGAAGCUCUUUGUUCUGUAGCCUGCUUCUCCCCCAGGGGCAAAAUCUGAGGCUUGGUUCUGUAGCUGGGGGCAGGGAAAAUGGUGAGCUCUUCCUAAAGUGAUGUCUUUGUUUUAGCUGGUGAAUGUUAGUUGAAGGGGAGACUGUAGCCUCAGGUCCUUUUGGCUUGCCUCUUCUGGCUAGAACCCCCAUCCCAUGAGCUAGGGGAAGGGUGUUCAGGGCCCCAUAUUCUUCUUGGUGCAGUGAUCAAAGUGUCUCAAAGAGCCUCUGUCCCAUACAAGUGAGGCUGGGUGGAAGAGGGGAGCCCCACUUUUCAGACACACUUGCCCAGAAUUUAGUCUCAGCAACAGGUGGCUGGGGGCAGAAUGAACAAUGGAGAUGUCUCUCUCACCUGUGGGGAGAGAGGGCUCUGUGUUCUCAGCUCUCAGUCUGGAGUGGAGGUCUCUCUCACCGAGCUGAGAGGGAAGAAAGAAGGGUGCAAAUACCACAGGUUCUCACUGAUCUCAACAAGUUCAGAAGAUUUUCUUGACUGUUUCUUCACUUGAUGAAUGCGCAUACAACCAAUUCCAGAGGCUCUAAAUGUUUCUUUAAAAAAAUAAUCUGUGUCAACUGUACUUCAAAAAAAAAAAAAUCGAGUGUACAGAUUGGGAACUGUAGUUAAUAAUACUGUAUUGUAUACUUGAUACUGGCUAAAAGGGCUGACCUUGAGUAUUUCACUAAAAAAUAUUAUUUAUGUAAAAGUAAUUGAUUACUUAACUAACUUAACUUGAUUGUGGGAAUCAUUUCAUUAUGUAUAUGUAUAUCCAAUUACCAUGCUGUACAGUGCAAAUACACUACAAUUUUGGCACUAUACCUGAAUAAACCUGGAAAAAAUGACUCAUCAAAAAAAAUGUCCAUCAGUGUUGCUGGAGAGUCAGUCCACAGAUCUCUUCCUGUGAUCAUGCUGGAAGUGGAACUCUUAGUAUUGUUAUUUACUAGAUGAGAACAAUGUUCAUAUAGAGCCUGGGGUGGUGGGGCCCAGAGUGGGAAGGAAAUCCCCUGGGAAUCAGAACAGCACAAAUACCUAAUCAUAGAACUGCAGGGUGGUAAAGGACAUUAGAUGUUAUCUAGAUCAGAUUUUACCCCCUACAGCAAUCUCCACAACCACUCUUGCUUGUGGUCCUUGAGUCUCUGCUUGAACACCUCCAGGAAUGGAGAACUAACCGGAUGAGUUCAGACUGAAUAUUAUCCCCAUGAACAACAUAACCAUGUAAAACCAAACACAGCUUUUGCCUAGCGGGAUCGGCUGUGUGUACAAACAAAAGGGGAAACAGAGAAAAUAGGUUCUGUGGAAUCCUAAACAACUUUAUGUCACCAGCAGGUCAUGAGCAUGCUGUAAAAAGGCACUUAGCUGUUUUUGAACACCAGGUGCCCCAGAGAUUGCUCUAAUUUUAGAAUUAACAUAGUGCUUACUAAAGAGGUCCAGGACUCAUGGGUCUGGAAUGUGAUGUUCUCUUACCCGCUGGCACUGCAGACUCAUGUCCUACUGUUGAUUCUGCUCCAAUCAUUUUCUGAUAUUCAGAGAGGGAGAACCAGAUCAUGGAACUGGCAUGUGCCUAAGGAGUUCGCCAAGAAAUAUGAUUUAAAGGCCAACCUUGAGAGACAGAGUUGGCGACAGCCACUCCCCGGAGGGCUAAGAGCUCAUUUUCAUAGUGGCAUUGUGAUUAUCCUCUACCCCCUCCAGCUCCUUUCUCUGCCCUUCUCUGCCAGCUCCAUGGCUCAGGAGGUUCCCCUCUGAAGAAGGCAUUGCCUGGGCUCCCCCACUAGCCAUCUGGCCAUUGUGUUCAGUCAGUGGGGAGCACCAGCAGAUCAGAGAGUGGGAAGAGAGAGGCUGAGGUAUAUUUCCCUGUUCUGGAAUCUGGUCUCGGCCUGGAGCUGUGGUCCUUUCUCUGUAUCAGAUGCAGUAGCAUGAUUUCCUGUCCUUGUCCUGCUGGGCCUAGGGGUGCGGCUGACAGCUGGUUUUGGGGUAUCACCACCCUUGUUUGUACCCUCAACAUGCAUAUCUUUGACACAGACCAUCAUUAAAAUCUCUUUAUUUGAUCUAAAGCGGGGGCGGGGGGGGUGAAUUCUAUUUCCUAUCAGAUAAACUCCUUGUUACCAUCCUUCCAUGAUAACAAUGUUCCUUCAGUCUCUCCCAAUUAUAAUCAAGCCUAGAAAGGAAGCAAGCCCCAUGUUGCUGUCCUAGCAUUAACUCUAGGGGACCUCAUAUGCUCACAUGGGUCCCACGUAAACAAAACAGAUGAUUUUGUUCAUAUCCUGCCCUGGAAUUUGAUGCCUCUGUUGGAUCCAUGAAUCUGUUUAUUCCACAAGCUCUUUCCAGAGGCAGAAGAGGUAACAUUUCUACAUAGCUUGACUGUUGCUUAGAAUCAGAACUUGUUUGUUUCCUGAACCUUUUCUGCCUCAAUAUGAAAUAUGUAGUCUUUGUACCCUUGAGGGAUAGUGGGGAAUUUCAACACAUAGCACAUGGUUUCCUAAUUUAAUUUGAAGCUGUUAUCCUCUGAGUUCUGUCCCAAAGUCCUUCCUAGCUAAUCAAUAAGUUUCCUUGUCCAUGAGCAGGAACUUAAAAAAUUAUUUUUAAAGUUUAACUGUAGGAAAAAGCAAGCUACCUUCUUAGGUUUUUGUUAAUUCACUCAAGCUCUUUCUUUGUAUUCAUAGCCAGAUGACUAAACUUUCUAUUUAUAAAUAGAGGGGGCUUCCCAAGACCUAGAGACCAAUCAUUACUUGUAGGCAUUCAUGUCACAAGCCAGUCCAAGCUAUAUUUUACCAAGAGGUUAGCUGGCAUACUGGUUUGAAUCUUUUAUUUAUUUAUAGUGACAGUAACAUAUUUGGCUCUUACACAUUCUCCUUAAAGCCUGAUAACCCCAGUUAUCUUGUGCUAUAAGUGACCAGCUUUCACUGAGUUAGAAAUGAGUGUUUGGAGGGGGAAGGGAGUUGGGGAAAAUUCCGACUUACCAACAGUUCCCUAAUGCAAGUAUGUCUUCGGAACAGCCGUGUCGGCUACCAAGGAAACCUGUGAAUUCAUCUUGGAAGCUGUCAGGCUAGCUUAGAGGCAUCAAUGAUGAAAAUCUUGAGUUAUUUCUGGAGUGGUGAUUGAUGUUUCAAAUAGAAGAUGACAUUUUGAUGGGAUCCUGACUUGCUGUGAUAGGAGUUAAUGAGGAUAAUGAUGAUAAUGAUAUUUACAUUAUACCUUUCUUCCAAAGAAGUCUUCAGUCCUUUCAUCUCAUUCGUGUUGAAAAGGUCCCUUUGGAGUUGGGAGGGAAAGGUGUUAUUAAUUUGUUUUUCAGGAGAGAGAGAGAGAGAGGAAGAGAAAAAAAAAAUAUAUAUAUAUAUAGAGAAAGAGAGAGAGAGAGAGAGAGAUAAUUGCCCAGCUUUCAGGCUCCAUUUUGGAGAUAAGAAGAGAUGUUUAAAUGACAAAGUAAACUAGGGGAAAUUAAACUUAGAGAAACGCCAGUCUCAGUUCCCAUCAUCCUAUACAAUGCUGCCAUAUCAAGCUCCAGUAAUUUCACUCCCUGACCCCAAAGUCUUCAGGAGAUCCUCACAGACUGCCAAAUUCAGUCCUAAUAUCCUAUCUUAGCAGGCCAGACUGUUGACAUCCCAACCUACAUCAUCUCGCUGUGCUCUUAUAUUUCCCCAUGUGUCAGCCAAACAAACCCACUUGCUUGCCCGUCAUCUGCUCUGAGCACCCCAUUCUCUUUCCAAAUGUUCACUGCACAUGCCAUAGCUUGUUUAAUGUCUAUCUUCCUCUGUGGAUGUAAAUUCCAGGAAAGCAGGUCCUGUCACCAUUGUACCCCCAGAGUCUAGUAGCGUUAACUGGUCCAUGAUGGACACUUCUGAAGUGUUCGCUAUGCUCUACCACCUUCAUGCCUGUGCUCAUGCUGUUUCCUCCGCCUCAAAGGCCUGACCUCCUAUCUUGGCCUACUGAAGCCAGGGCAGUUCUUCCAAGGCGAUCAAGCCCAGGUUCCUCCAUCAGGUUUCCCCUUCUUGGGAACCACCACAGUGCUGUUCUUUUAAGUUCUUACCUUACCUUCUCUUGUGUUGUAAUCAUUUGUAAUCUUGUGUAGUCUUCCUUCCAAGCCCCUCCCAGACUGCCAGCUCUGGAAAGACAGGAGCAGUACCCUAGAGCCUGUUAAACAUGUGCUCACCCGUCUAAAACUAUUGUUGACCAGCAUUAUUCAUUCAGCAAAAGUCCCAUUUCCAGAAUCUGCAGUUUGUCACGAGAGGGGAUUUUUCUCCUUCUUACCUUCCGCCAUCCUUCUGGAAGGCUGGGAGAAAGAUCAGUCACGGAAACCCUGCCAACUCUUCCUUCAAAAAGUGUCUCCAUUCUCUUCUGUGAGGAGUAAAUACUCUGGCACUUAGGUGGAGGGUUCCAUUGCCUAAGGGGGCCCAGGGCAGGUGUGCAGGGGUGGUAGUUGGCUUUUUUUUUUUUUUUUUUUUAGCUUCUGUGCCCCUUUCAGUGCUGGCUUGAAUAAGGGAGAACUAAUUAAUGCAACAUCAACUGAGAAGGUAUGAAUAGAUCAACGACCUCUUUAAGGAAUUUUAAUAGUAGUGCUUCUAGUGAGCAUUUGCACGUACCAUUCAGUUUCCAUAAGAAGACACCAGAUUGAACUAACUCUGGGUAUGUGUGAAGCCUCAUAAUCAGCACAUUUUUGACAGUUUGAAGACCCCAGGCUACUAGCAACAUGGGCAUACUGAACAUCUGUGAUCUAACACUCCAUAUAAAUUAGAAAGAGCUACUUCGACAACUGUAUCAUGGAAUAUUCAGGGUUGUUAAAAUUGAUGAUGUAGAUCUCUAUUUAUUGACAUGGAGAGAUGCCUGCAAUCUAUUGCUAAGUAAAGGAAGCAAGCUAUAGAACAGCAUGAUGAUGUAAAAUUAUUCCACAUUUAUAUCUGUAUCUACUCAUAGAUGGGUGGAUAGUCUUCAAAAUGUUAACAAUGGCAUCUCUGUGAUGAAAUUUGGGGUAAUUUUUUUUCUUUACUUUUGUUUUUACAGUUGCUUCUGUAUUAUUUGAAUUUUAUUUUUAUGGUGAGCAAUUAUUUUUACAAUCAGAAAAGGAAAACAAUAAAGCUGCUUUCAGCUAGAAAAAAAUGGUUGGAAAUAAAAAAAGACUCAUUAAAAAAAUCUUCAAAUGUCCUAACAGAUGCUUACUGUAAAACAAACAAACAAAAACCACAACCAAACUCUUGCAUGAAUGAGAGAAAACCUGUUCCACUGCUUCCACGACUGAGCCAUAUAAUGUGCUGACCACAGUUAGGAGCAAAAGGGAAAAAAGAAGCCUCCAAGGAGGAGCACAGGUGAAAUCAAGACCUCUUGACCUCGCAUGGGUGUCAUGCACGCUUUUUAAGUGCUUGCAGUAUGAAGCAUCACUUCAGGUAUCAUUUUAAUCCAAGCUUUUGAUGGCAGUUGAUUUACAGGCACAGUAUUUCUAAUUAUGGGACAACAGAGAAAACUUCCCAUCUCUGACAGCAAAGCAAUGGUGACUGCAUUUCCUACAGCAGUUUCUGUUGCAAAAAAAGAGACAUGUGCUGUUGGUCAUAGUAUAAUUCACACUUUAUUCCAUCAUGAUUGGUAUACUUGUAGCAUCAGGACAGCAAGAGAUUAAAAUCAGUGCAGAACUUCUCUGGACUAGAGGGUCAUGAAAGGCAAGACUGGUUUUGGUACACAGAGUGGAUAAUCGUACAUUAGCUGCAGUGUGAUGAUCAGUAAAACAAAAUGCACAAGUCUAACACCAUGUUGAGACCAAGGCUAAAUUCUGUAGAAUGUUAAAGAGUAAAUAAUUAUGAAUUUUAACAUGCAACUCUAUAUAAGUCACAUUAUUCAUCUAUAGACUAUUUCCCCUUUAGAGAUGAAGAGAUAGCCUUAGUAAUCUGUUCACAGUAGCUUAAAGAGCAAUCAAUACACAUUAUAGAUCUGCCUGCUGAUUUCUAUAGCAAUCCAUUAUAGUUGAAGAGAUAAUGCUAAAUAAUGUACUUUCUCUAUAUUGCCCCUGUUAGAUUGAAUCUUACUACCCCAGUAAUUCAGACUCAACUUUUCCUUACUUUAAUACCAUUCCUAAUGCCUUUAUAAUGUCAAAGAGCAGCUUGUGUUAGUUUAUUUAUCCUUAUAAAUCAUAAUGGACUCGAGGGGAACCUAUGUAACGGGUCAUCGUUCCUCUGCAAAGAUAACGUUAUGCUGAUGAGAACAUCAAAAAAUACUACUACUAUGCUGCAGAUAUUUUGGCUUUUCACACUGUCAUAUCACAGGGAGUACAAAGAAGACAGUCUUAGUGACAUAGCAGACAAAACAAUUCUGUGGAAGAGGCACAUAGAUACUAAGUGAUUUCUUGAGACAGAGGAGCAAAGAGGGACAGAAGCAAAGGAAAGAAAAAGUGAAAGAGAGCCUUCUACAGGACAAAUUGUUCAAAAGAAAAAUCAAUUCACUUGCAAUUGACUAAAUAUAGUUCUUCAAUUUGGGAUGAUAGAAGUAAAUAUAUUGAAAAUUAUACGCCACUUAGCUUUAAUAGUAAUCCUAAGGUGGCUGACUGCGUUAACUUUCCCGAGGUUGUUUUUGAGAUGUUGGACUCUCCCAGGGAGAAGUUCUGCUUUUGCCAGCACAGGGCCAGAUUUAACCCAAAAGGGCAACCAUAAUCGUAGAGGACAAUUUUUCCUUAUUGACUAGACCAUGUGGGUAACAAUCGUUUUCUCUCUGGUAAAAACACACUCUUCACCCAUGAUGAGACACUUUGAAAUAAGACAGUGACCAAGAUAUGGUUCAUUCAUAGGAUGCUGUAACUAAGAUAUCUGCAUUUUGCAGUUAAGCAAAAAGGAGGAGCAGGAAUUUCUUCAAAUUCUGGCAUAAAAUCAUCAAAUAAAUGAAAAAGAUAGGUGGUGGCUAAGGAUGUCUUGGUUUUCUCAGAGGUUUAUCACUUCCAUUUGCUAAGGAGAGAUAUGAAUGGAGGGAAUUCUAUCUUGGUCACCAAACAUAAGAAAUGUUUGGUUAGAAAUACAUAGGUAAGGGGCGCCUGGGUGGCUCAGUCGGUUAAGUGUCUGACUCUUGAUUUCGGCUCAGGUCAUGAUCUCAGGGUCAUGACAUCAAGCCCCAGGUCAGGCUCCACACUCAGCGGGGAGUCUGCUUGAGAUUCUCUCUCUACCCCUCCCCCACCCACACCCAUGCACUCUCUCUCAGAUAAAUAAAUCUUCAAAAAAAAAAGAAAAAAAGAAACACACAGGUAAGCAGAGCAAGCCUUGAAGUCA